AUUAGCGUGUAGAACUCUGUUCUGGGCUCUGUAACCACAGGCAAUGUUUCCCAUGUGGGAAGUGCUGCGCAUGUUCCAGGCCAGGAAUCUGGAAGGGAGCAGAGAGGCACCUACCUUCUCAGGGUGGGUUUUCCUUCUGCCUGUCGAACCAUGGGGAGCUCAGGCGUUAACUGCAGCAUGGAACUCAGAACUGAAGGCAAGGGUCGAACAGGAACUUCCCUUUGAUUGGUUAUAAAUUGGCCUCAGAUAUAGUGCAUGUUCCUGCACUGAAAUUAUUCAACAGAAGUGAAGGGGAAAUGCAUGGCACUGAGAAUUAGAAAGAUAACACAACAUGAAGCUGGCAGAAGAAAUAAAGUCCCAAAGAUGGAGGGUUUUUCAGGAUAGUUAUCAAUUUCGGAAGCUCGUUUACAUCAGAGUACAACAAGCUACCAGAUUAAUGGGAUAAGGUUUGUUCUAGAGGGUACAUGCUUCUGUAAGCUUCUUACAAGCAUUUGCUCUUCCUUUGUGUUUUAGACUUGAUUCCUGACAAUUAGCCUGUGUAUGGAUCAGGAAUGUGAUGAGGCUUCACCUUUCUUAGGAUUCUUCCCAAAGACAUGAAACGAAUAAAGCAGGAAUGGCUGGGACCCCUAUCUUACAAUGCGUUCUGCCUUCCCUGAGCAGCAUAUUGACAGCAUUCUGGCAUCCCAGCAGCAAGACAUAUAUGCAUCCCUGCAAAGGAGUAAAGAUCAUGCUUUUCUUAAGAUGCUUUUAGAAUUACGAAUUUGGUUGAAAAUAUAAAUUAGGUUCAAGAGAAGGUCACAAUCUCUGCCAGAAAUCAAGGCUGCCUAAAACUACCUGAACCAGACCACACCAAGAAAAAUGCUAACAUGCCAAGAGGAAAGACCAUCAGGCCUCAACACUAGACAAAGAACAUUGAAGGGCCACUAAGGAAUGCCAAGUGUGAGGAAUAAAGUCUACUACAGGGAAGGGGACAACAACUGGUUAUCUUAUCAAAAUGCAAGCCCUUAAGUAACAUUUUAUGGAUUGAUCAGGUCUGGUGUUGAAGCACCAGGUGUAAAAAGCUCUCUGUCACUGAUGCGUUAAAAGACUCAGUGUUCUACUCCUUUCCAAGAAUUGCUCAACUAUGUGGUUUGCUCAGAGCAUGAGAUAUUUUCAAUCUCAGAAGUAACCAUGAGAAUUCAAUGGAUCUCUACAGUGCCAUUAUCAUGGUACAUUAUACUGUUUGCAAUUUUCUUGGGGAAACUUGAAAAUGGAUUAAUUUGGGGAGACGCAGGCUCAGAGGAUCAGUAAGAAGCCUUACAGGAACACACUACUGCCUGAGAAGGUCAAGGACCUCUUGACUUCAGACUUCUCAGUAGGAAGAAAAUGAGUGUUCUCUUCAUCUGGUGACCUGAUCUUAUGUGACUAGUGAUGAUGAUCCCUCCUGAAGCAUCAUGAGCCCAUAUCUUAUGAACUGUGGAUUGAAAACAGAUUGAAGUUGAGGAAGUCAGGUGACAAUAUGAUCAAAAGAGCAUUGGAAAGACUGAGCAAAGCAACACUGUGUACUGACCAGACGUCACCACUACCUAGACGAUGACAAAUUCCCCACCUUCUGGCCUCAACUGUACUACAAUCUCCUCAACUCAGCCUCCUAAGUGGUGUAUAAUAGGUGUGAGCCAUCAUCUCUAGCUGCUGAGUAAACAGAAUUCUAAAAUAUUUUUA
rnacentral:lncRNA from 1 species